rnacentral:rRNA from 1 species
AUUGAACGCUGGCGGCAUGCCUUACACAUGCAAGUCGAACGGCAGCACGGGUGCUUGCACCUGGUGGCGAGUGGCGAACGGGUGAGUAAUACAUCGGAACGUACCUUAUCGUGGGGGAUAACGCAGCGAAAGCUGUGCUAAUACCGCAUACGCCCUGAGGGGGAAAGCGGGGGAUCGAAAGACCUCGCGCGAUUAGAGCGGCCGAUGCCUGAUUAGCUUGUUGGUGGGGUAAAAGCCCACCAAGGCGACGAUCAGUAGCUGGUCUGAGAGGACGAUCAGCCACGCUGGGACUUAGACACGGCCCAGACUCCUACGGGAGGCAGCAGUGGGGAAUUUUAGACAAUGGGGGCAACCCUGAUCCAGCAAUGCCGCGUGAGUGAAGAAGGCCUUCGGGUUGUAAAGCUCUUUCGUCAGGGAAGAAACACCGGCUCUAACACAGCCCGGGAAUGACGGUACCUGAAGGAUAAGCACCGGCUAACUACGUGCCAGCAGCCGCGGUAA